GUUGAGACAUCGUGUCAGUAACAGCUUCGUUCUGCUGGGGUUAAACUAAUCAUCCUAAACCAAGUCAGUUACUAGAUACUUCGGUUCCCAUUGUUCCUUAUUUGUUGUGGAUAUAUGUGUGUGUGCAAGAGCAUGAAUCAUUCCGUGUUAUCUUUUCCCGGCCUGUUUCACUGGUCUUCUCCUGUGCCUUGCAACCGUGCUCAUAAUCUAUACAAAAGUAAAACAUCGGAGACAUCAAGUUUCAGGGCAUAUCCAGUAGGUGGCGCUGUUGAUCUCCAGUCCGACAUCUGUAAAUGGUAAAUGGUAAAAGGCAGGCAUUUAUAUAGCGCCUUUAUCCAAAGCGCUGUACAAUUUAUGCUUCUCCAUUCACCCAUUCAUACACACACUCACACACCGACGGCGAUUGGCUGCCAUGCAAGGCCCCGACCAGCUCGUCAGGAGCAUUUGGGGGUUAGGUGUCUUGCUCAGGGACACUUUGACACAGCCCGGGCGGGGGAUCGAACCGGCAACCCUCCGACUGCCAGACGACUGCUCUUACUGCCUGAGCCAUGUCACCCACCCUGUACUUCCAUCACUGUGAUGUUCUCCCCUACUGUGUCGCUCAGGAUCAGUGAGUUUGUGAAAUGGCUGCUGUCCUGUAAUGUUCAUUAAGUAACCUACUCCCUAAUGUUGUAAUAAAUCUCUAUUGUAGCAGACAA